rnacentral:rRNA from 1 species
AGAGCUUGCUCUCGGGUGACGAGCGGCGGACGGGUGAGUAAUGUCUGGGAAACUGCCUGAUGGAGGGGGAUAACUACUGGAAACGGUAGCUAAUACCGCAUAAUGUCGCAAGACCAAAGUGGGGGACCUUCGGGCCUCAUGCCAUCAGAUGUGCCCAGAUGGGAUUAGCUAGUAGGUGGGGUAACGGCUCACCUAGGCGACGAUCCCUAGCUGGUCUGAGAGGAUGACCAGCCACACUGGAACUGAGACACGGUCCAGACUCCUACGGGAGCAGCAGUGGGGAAUAUUGCACAAUGGCGCAAGCCUGAUGCAGCAUGCCGCGUGUGUGAAAAGGCCUUCGGGUUGUAAGCACUUUCGCGGGAGAAGGCGUCAGG